AAAAAAGGUGGACACUGCAGAACCCAGCAGCCAGGUGGAGGAAAUAUCCUGGGGGAAGUUAAAUUUCGCCCUGCUUGUGAAUCUGUCCAGGUCUGAAGCCACCUUGAGGAGGCCCCUGGACUUCUCUCCCUUCUCCUGCUGACAGUCUGCCUGGGAGUGAAGGUCAAGAUGAUGGCAGGGGUUGUUCCCACGUGUCACACCCUGCCUUCAUGAAGCUUUGUAUGUAAAGCUGCUGCAUCUCCUGCAGGCUCAAGCUCUCUCCUCCAGGAAGAAGUUAAUCUCCCUCUGGUUUCCUGGGACUCGACUCAGUUGGACGGUGUCUGCCUGCGUGCCUUUAUCCCAC
rnacentral:lncRNA from 1 species